CACGUAGGGGGCACGCGUUGUCCGGAUUUAUUGGGCGUAAAGAGCUCGUAGGCGGCUUAGUAAGUCGGGUGUGAAACCUCCAGGCUCAACCUGGAGACGCCACCCGAUACUGCUGUGGCUAGAGUCCGGUAGGGGAGCGUGGAAUUCCUGGUGUAGCGGUGAAAUGCGCAGAUAUCAGGAGGAACACGAGCGGCGAAGGCGGCGCUCUGGGCCGGUACUGACGCUGAGGAGCGAAAGCGUGGGGAGCAAACAGG
rnacentral:rRNA from 1 species